UACGAAGGGGGCUAGCGUUGCUCGGAAUCACUGGGCGUAAAGCGCACGUAGGCGGCUUUCUAAGUCAGGGGUGAAAUCCUGGAGCUCAACUCCAGAACUGCCUUUGAUACUGGCGAGCUUGAGUCCGGGAGAGGUGAGUGGAACUGCGAGUGUAGAGGUGAAAUUCGUAGAUAUUCGCAAGAACACCAGUGGCGAAGGCGGCUCACUAGCCCGGUACUGACGCUGAGGUGCGAAAGCGUGGGGAGCAAACAGG
rnacentral:rRNA from 1 species